UUCUAAGUGGAUUUGGUACCUCGAGGCUCAUUAUCUCUCUUUUGGGGCUCCUAAUGGAGUAAUCUCCAGAAUCUAUUCAAGGGAUAUUCGGAGAUUAGCUGAAUCCUACUCAAGAACAAAUUGACAGAUUUUCCCUCUAAAACAAAAAAUUCAGUUCAAAAACUUCAAAGCAUUAAAAGGAAAUUCAGAGAAUCAAAACAUAGUAGAAUGCAUAUGUUGAGGGAGAGAAUCUGAAUAUUAAUCAAGCUAAAUCAUUAAAGAUAUAUAAGCCAAACAAUUGAUUGUAUAAUAUGAAGGCUUAUAUAAUUCCAAAUGAAAGGAGGAGCUUUAACUCCGAAAUUUAUUGUUUUACUCCUUUCAAGCUUGGAUAAAUUGAAUUACCAGACAUUUGAAUUCAAUUAUGGAUUUUAUUUCAUUGUUUAUUGAGCAAUUCACUUUACAUAUACUCAAUGUUUUGUCAUCAUCAAAAAGGGGGAGAUUGUGGAGUGAUUGAUUAAAACCCUAUUUGAUUUUGAUGAGCUCAAAGCAUUUGAG
rnacentral:lncRNA from 1 species